GAGCUCGAGCCCUCAAAACAGACCACUUCCCUCUCCUGAUCGUCACCAAAGACCUGUAAUCUCCAUAGAAGUCCGUGGUCGUCAAGAGCUAUCUCCUGUCAUUGAAGACAAAGAUGCAUUCCAGCAGAUGCUGUGACAUCAGCGUUGGAUGACGCCUCAGUACUGCUUACCAAAGGCUUGAAUAUCUGGAUGAGGAUCUAGCAAUGUGCAGAUGAAGCGGAAAAAAAGGGUGCCUUUCCAUUUAAGGUAGUCCUCCUACAAAACAGGUAAAU